UACGGAGGGUGCAAGCGUUAAUCGGAAUUACUGGGCGUAAAGCGCACGCAGGUGGCUGAGAAAGUCGAUUGUGAAAGCCCUGGGCUUAACCUGGGAAUUGCAGUCGAAACUACUCGGCUAGAGUAUGGGAGAGGGUAGUGGAAGUUCCCGGUGUGAGCGGUGAAAUGCGUAGAUAUCGGGAGGAACACCCGUGGCGAAGGCGGUUCUCUGGAACGCAACUGGACGCUGAGACGCGAAAGCGUGGGGAGCAAACAGG
rnacentral:rRNA from 1 species